CAGUCGCCGCGGUAAUACGGAGGGUGCAAGCGUUAAUCGGAAUUACUGGGCGUAAAGCGUGCGUAGGCGGUUCGUUAAGUCUGUUGUGAAAGCCCCGGGCUCAACCUGGGAAUGGCAAUGGAUACUGGCGAGCUAGAGUAUGUCAGAGGAUGGUGGAAUUCCCGGUGUAGCGGUGAAAUGCGUAGAGAUCGGGAGGAACAUCAGUGGCGAAGGCGGCCAUCUGGGACAACACUGACGCUGAGGCACGAAAGCGUGGGGAGCAAACAGGAUUAGAUACCCCGGUAGUCCCUGUCUCUUAUAC
rnacentral:rRNA from 1 species